rnacentral:misc_RNA from 1 species
GCAAACUUGGUCAUUUAGAGGAAGUAAAAGUCGUAACAAGGUUUCUGUAGGUGAACCUGCAGAAGGAUCAUUAGUGAAGUUACCUUUCCGCCUGUCCUGGCCUGGCUCGCAAGAGCCGCCCAGGCGGAAACCCCCCUUCCACGAUUCCACACCCUUGUGCACACACACAAACAAAAACACAUUUGUAUUACGCUUGUUUAUAAAGAGUGAAAAGAGAAACUAAAACAGUUAUGUUUUUAACCAAACACAACUUUCAGCAACGGAUCUCUUGGUUCUCCCAUCGAUGAAGAACGCAGC